UGUUUUCACUCGACGUGAGAUAGUUACGACAAAACAACAGGCACGUGAAUGCAUCAGUAAUGUAAGAGCGCCUAACAUAAUGACUACUAACUUAUGUUUGCUAACUCUUCCCACUCGCUGUCGUCUUCCGUUUUCUCAUCGUCCUGAAUGUCGUCACUCCGUCUCUGUUCCCGCCUCUAAAACUUGAUAGUUCGUAGUUGUUUACCGUCACUAAUCGGUACAAAAGACUGACACUCGUCAAGCCCAUUUACAACGAUAAGGAACAGCGAUGCAUUCAGGUUUCAAGAUGUUAGAAUAAUGAAAAAGACCUCCACGUGACUGUAUGUAUUUUUGUAUAGCUAACCCUGGCUGAUCUCUGCAAGGCACAGUUCACUCUGCAUGUCCAUUAACACCUGCAACCAAAUCUUUUUUAGCCCGGCCGGGCUCAAACGCUCCACCGACAUAACAUUAAUGGCAUUGUCACAGUCUAGACUCGUCUGAGGGGAGCGGGCGUAGCCGCGGACGCGCGGCCUCUCGGAGCUGAUACUACUGGCUGCGAUCCCUGGCAUCUGCAGCACGCCGAUUACCAGCUGUCCCUGCCCUACUGCGCCUGUCAAAUCCCAGUAACUGAGGAAUAAACAAACUGUAAACAAAGGCCCUAGUUUAGCACCGCCGCCCACCACAGCAUGACAACAGGUUUGUCACUCUUGCUGUUUGCCGGGGCCGGCGGGGCCCAGAGCCGUGCAGCGAGCAGUAAAAUAAAAAAAAAAAAAAAAAAAAAA